GAACGCUAGCGGCAGGCUUAAUACAUGCAAGUCGUGGGGCAGCAUGAGUAGCAAUACUUGAUGGCGACCGGCAAACGGGUGAGGAACACGUACACCAACCUUCCUUCAAGCGGGGAAUAGCCCAGAGAAAUUUGGAUUAAUACCCCAUAAUAUAUUUGAUAAGGCAUCUUAUUAAUAUUAAAGCUUCGGCACUUGAUGAUGGGUGUGCGGCUGAUUAGAUAGUUGGCGGGGUAACGGCCCACCAAGUCUACGAUCAGUAGCUGAUGUGAGAGCAUGAUCAGCCACACGGGCACUGAGACACGGGCCCGACUCCUACGGGAGGCAGCAGUAAGGAAUAUUGGACAAUGGACGAAAGUCUGAUCCAGCCAUGCCGCGUGAAGGAUUAAGGUCCUCUGGAUUGUAAACUUCUUUUAUAUGGGACGAAAAAGGGCAUUCUUGUUCACUUGACGGUACCAUAUGAAUAAGCACCGGCUAACUCCGUG
rnacentral:rRNA from 1 species